rnacentral:tRNA from 1 species
GCCUGGGUGGCUUAGUCGGUUAAGCAUCUGACUUCGGCUCAGGUCAUGAUCUCGCGGUCCGUGGGUUCGAGCCCUGCGUCGGGCU